rnacentral:rRNA from 1 species
AGUGAACGCUGGCGGUAGGCCUAACACAUGCAAGUCGAACGGCAGCACAGUAAGAGCUUGCUCUUACGGGUGGCGAGUGGCGGACGGGUGAGGAAUACAUCGGAAUCUACUUUUUCGUGGGGGAUAACGUAGGGAAACUUACGCUAAUACCGUAUACGACCUACGGGUGAAAGCAGGGGAUCUUCGGACCUUGUGCGAUUGAAUGAGCCGAUGUCGGAUUAGCUUGUUGGCGGGGUAAAGGCCCACCAAGGCGACUAUCCGUAGCUGGUCUGAGAGGAUGAUCAGCCACACGGGAACUGAGACACGGUCCAGACUCCGGCGGGGGGCAACAGUGGGGAAUAUUGGACAAGGGGGGCAAGCCUGAUCCAGCCAUACCGCGUGGGGGCAGAAGGCCUUCUGGUUGUAAAGCCAUUUUGUUGGGAGAGAAAAGCAGCAGGUUAAUACCCCGCUGUUCUGACGGUACCCAAAGAAUAAGCACCGGCUAACUUCGUG